UGGAAAAAUGGUGAGGUUGAUGCUUUCU
rnacentral:piRNA from 1 species